UCCGGCUGCGAGCGGACGCCCUGCCCGCGCCCAGCGCCCACCGCCGGGCUCCGCGCCCCCGACCCAGCCGCUCGGCUCCCCGGGGCCGGACCGAGGCCGCAAGCAGCGCCGCGGGGUGUGGGGCCGACCCAGGAGAUGAAAUGACAACGUCAACCCUCCAGAAAGCCAUUGAUCUGGUGACAAAAGCCACAGAAGAGGAUAAAGCCAAGAAUUACGAGGAGGCACUCCGGCUCUACCAGCAUGCCGUGGAGUAUUUCCUACACGCUAUCAAAUAUGAGGCACACAGCGACAAGGCCAAGGAGAGCAUUCGAGCCAAGUGCAUGCAGUACCUAGAUCGGGCCGAGAAGCUGAAGGAUUAUUUACGAAACAAAGAGAAGCAUGGCAAGAAGCCAGUGAAAGAAAAUCAGAGUGAGAGCAAGGGCAGUGAUAGUGACAGUGAAGGGGACAACCCAGAGAAAAAGAAAUUGCAAGAACAACUGAUGGGUGCUGUUGUGAUAGAGAAGCCCAACAUUCGGUGGAAUGAUGUGGCUGGGCUGGAGGGGGCCAAGGAAGCCCUCAAAGAAGCUGUCAUUUUGCCAAUUAAAUUCCCACACUUGUUCACAGGCAAGCGUACGCCUUGGCGAGGGAUACUGCUCUUCGGACCCCCUGGCACAGGGAAAUCCUACCUGGCCAAAGCAGUGGCCACGGAGGCCAACAACUCCACCUUCUUCUCUGUGUCCUCCUCGGACCUGAUGUCUAAGUGGUUGGGGGAGAGUGAGAAGCUAGUCAAGAACCUGUUUGAGCUGGCCAGGCAGCACAAGCCCUCCAUCAUCUUCAUCGAUGAGGUGGAUUCCCUCUGCGGGUCCCGCAAUGAAAAUGAGAGUGAGGCCGCCCGAAGGAUCAAAACGGAGUUCUUGGUUCAGAUGCAGGGGGUGGGGAAUAACAACGAUGGGACUCUGGUUCUUGGUGCCACAAACAUCCCAUGGGUGUUGGAUUCAGCCAUUAGAAGGAGGUUUGAAAAGAGGAUUUACAUCCCACUGCCCGAGGAGGCUGCCCGUGCCCAGAUGUUCCGGUUGCAUCUGGGGAGCACUCCCCACAAUCUCACGGAUGCCAACAUCCAUGAGCUGGCCCGGAAGACGGAAGGCUACUCAGGUGCCGACAUCAGCAUCAUUGUGCGGGACUCCCUCAUGCAGCCUGUCAGAAAAGUUCAGUCAGCAACACACUUCAAAAAGGUCUGUGGCCCUUCCCGCACCAACCCUAGCGUUAUGAUCGAUGACCUCCUGACCCCAUGCUCACCAGGGGACCCGGGGGCCAUGGAGAUGACUUGGAUGGAUGUCCCCGGUGACAAACUCCUAGAGCCUGUGGUUUGCAUGACACCUUGACAAGUCACAGGAGUUAACAGAAACUGGAGCUGCUGUGGUUCGUCUUCAUGGCUCUGGUCACGGCUGUUACCGAUGUCAUGCCUCUCCAUUCCUCUCUCCACCACCAGUGACAGGAGGCAGGGCGAUGAAUGUCCUCUUCACACGUGAGGCUGAAGUAACCUCAGACUGAUGUGUGCCCUCACCAUCUGUGUUAAACAUGGCUCGUAGGUGCAGAGGAAUUUCCUGCCCUAAGUGCUAACCCUGAAAUUCACUCUUCCCUACUUGGGAAUUAUGUCCUAAGCCUUCUGUCUCCCUUGGCUUUCACUUUGGUAGUUGACUUCUAAACUCUCCUUAGCUCAAGAUGCUGACUUGUGCGGUGUGGUUAUUGUGGCUGAUACAUCUCCCUGGGGUGGGCAAGGUUUUAUUAGAAACGCAGAUUUGUUGCCUUGAGCUAUACAUGUAGUAUUUAGUUGGACAAAUCCUUCCUCCUAGAUGGAUUUGGUUACACUAGUAAACCUCACAUUGUCAGCAAUAGAGUUUCAGGCUUUCUCCAAGGUCUACCCUGAACAACCACAUACCCUUGGGCCCCAGGUCAGGAAGCUGCAGGCAAAUGUUACUGAUAUACUUUACAAAGGCAUCAGUAAGGACAGUUAACCUCAGAGCACUCUGAGGAAGCAUCAGAAUAUUCUGAUGCCACCCUGCAGGAGCUUCUGAACAUUGUCCAAGGUCCUGGAAUUCUAAUUUUCAUAAGGAUCGAUGCUUUUUUAGUCUAAAUGAGUUUUCUACAGACCUUUCCCAGUGGCCGAGUAUCCAACCUCACCUUGGAGCAGUGCUGGCUCCUGUUCCUUUCCAAAGUUUAAUGCAAAGAGAGCCAGUUCCCUUUUACUUGACCUCAUAGGCCUCCAGAUGUGUCCUAUUUAGAGAAAGCCAUACUGGGUUUGUUUAGUUAACCACUGUUUAAAACAAGUAUUUUCCUAAACAACUUACUGAACUUUCUACAUGGCUACUAGAACUUGGAGGACUUUGGUAAGAAUACCUGUGUUGCAAAACAACAGAAAAAUGAGGCAAGACCAGUAUCUAGACAAAUUUCCUCACCUCUUGCAAAGCUCUGACAGUAUCUUUUUUUUUUUUUUUUAAAGAUUUUAUUUAUUUAUUCAUGAGAGACAGAGAGAGGCAGAGACACAGGCAGAGAGAGAGGCAGGCUCCAUACAGGGCACCUGAUGUGGGACUCGAUCCCGGGUCUCCAGGAUCAGACCCUGGGCUAAAGGCAGCGCUAAACCGCUGAGCCACCCGGGGCUGCCCGCUCUGACAGUAUCUUAAGGCUAAUCAUUGGUCAGCAUGCUGCUAAUUUAUUUUUCCAAAAUAAGUGUAGUGACCAGGAAGCACAAGUUUUGCUUUGUUUCUAAUUGUGAUAGGAAGAGGUUCACUGUUCCUCAACUCUCAUCCCUCCCCUAGCCCUGAUCCAUGACCUCUGCCAAAAGAAUGAGCCAAAUCAAAUAGCAGCUGCCCAAGAGAUCUCUGCAGGAAAAUCGUCUCCAAAUCUGUUAAAGGCAGAAGGUGGAGACCAAAACUGUGAGCCUGUAAAAUGUGUGGGUACUCAUUUGCGUUAAUAUUAUUAUUAAACACUUCUAUGAACUGUGGCCAUUCUCUUCUGUUUCACUUACACAAGCAAACUAUUGUCCAAAGCAAAGGACUCUGCAGGUAAGACACACAAGCCCUUUGUAAAAAUAAAAACUCAGUGAAGAUGGUCAACCAUAGUCUUAAGUUGCAUUUUUAAACAAAAGUCAGCUAUUUUUGGACUAUGUCAUUACAAAUCUUGGCUUUGGGGUAGAUUAUACAGGCUAUGAAAUCAUGUCUACUAAGAGUGGUUAUUUAUCUGCCCCACUUAUUACCAUACAAAAUCAUUGGGAAAUGUCUGCUCUUUGGGGGGGUUCAUUUUCUUCUCAAGUUGAAAGCAUUAUUUUGUCCGUGGCUGAUUUCAAGGCAAACAUUUUUGAUCUAUUCCUCCAGCUUGGUGUGGCAAUGUAUUGUUUUCUGUCAGAGCCAAGCCAAUAUAAGUUGAUAUCAGGCAAGCCAUGCCCAGCUCAAAGCCCAAGUGUUUAUGUUUUGGUUUCCAGAAUCUUCAGAUGCAGCAGGAAAAUUUUAAUCAUUCACCUCCAUCCAGUGGAUGUUUGUAAAUGUCUUGCUGUCCAUUUUGUCAAUGAACAGGCAGCCCUGCAAGUGGUCCAUCUCGUGCUGGAUGAUACGGGCUGCCCAUCCGCUCGCCUGCCACACCACCUGCUCCCCUUUGGGGUCCAGCCCUGCAAAGUCUGUGCUAUUUGAGCUGGUGGAAAAAGGACUUGGAGACAGCGAUUUAAAUAAGGAACAAGGUCUUCCAGGAAGACAGUGCAGAACUGGACAAAGAGCUCCUGCUCCCCGGUGCUGAAAGCAGCCUCUUCUGCCCGGUGAAAGGCCAGGAUCACUUUGGUUACCUAGAAGAUGGAGGCACCAUGAGGAAAGUCACACCAAACAGUACCCUGCAUUACUGUCUUGUUUAGAUUUAGAACUGUGGCCGCUCCCCACAACUCUGUCACUUGUCUGGUGUGUUUCUGACCCAAACCCAACUUGUUCCAUUACUGGCGCACUUAUCAGUUCCUGUGCAAGAGCAGCAAGAGUUUCUUGAUUCCUACAUGAUCUGGACCAGAACUAUACUGGAUCCAGAAAAAUGAAGCAAAACUAUAAAAGGUUUCUCCUGAGUAAGGCCUCUGAGGUUCCAGGAAGCUAGACUGUUAGAAAAUUAUAAAAGAACACAGAAAAGAAGUUCCCAUGAUGGGGGACAUACAAAUUACAGAGCAAUCUAACUGACAUUAUAGAUGGAUAUCCUAGUGACAGAGUUAAGAACACAGACCCUCUCAGGGGGUAUGCUACACUUCCUGGUUCAAGUCCUGGCUGUGCCACUUGGUUCUGUGACUUGCAAGUGAUUAAACACUUCAUGCCCUCUG